AGUGAACGCUGGCGGUAGGCCUAACACAUGCAAGUCGAACGGCAGCACAGUAGGAGCUUGCUCUUACGGGUGGCGAGUGGCGGACGGGUGAGGCAUACAUCGGAAUCUACUUUUUCGUGGGGGAUAACGUAGGGAAACUUACGCUAAUACCGCAUACGACCUACGGGUGAAAGCAGGGGAUCUUCGGACCUUGCGCGAUUGAAUGAGCCGAUGUCGGAUUAGCUAGUUGGCGGGGUAAAGGCCCACCAAGGCGACGAUGCGUAGCUGGUCUGAGAGGAUGAUCAGCCACACUGGAACUGAGACACGGUCCAGACUCCUACGGGAGGCAGCAGUGGGGAAUAUUGGACAAAGGGCGAAAGCCUGAUCCAGCCAUACCGCGUGAGUGAAGAAGGUCUUCGGGUUGUAAAGCCCUGUUGUUGGGAAAGAAAAGCAGUAGGUUAAAAUCCCGCUGUUCUGACGGUACCCAAAGAAUAAGCACCGGCUAACUUCGUG
rnacentral:rRNA from 1 species